AUGGGAGGAACCAGAGCCCAGUCAGUGACCCAGCCUGAUGACCACACCGCUGUCUCUGAAGGAGACCCUCUCGAGCUGAGGUGCAACUAUACCUAUGGUGGGGCUGUGUAUCUCUUCUGGUACGUCCAGUACCCCAGCCAAGGCCUCCAGCUUCUCCUCAAGUACUUAUCAGGGGCCACCCUGGUUAAAGGCAUCAAAGGUUUCCAGGCUGAAUUUAAGAAGAGUGAUACCUCCUUCCAUCUGUGGAAACAAUCAGCCCAUUUGAGUGACUCGGCCGAGUACUUCUGUGCUCUGAGUGACACAGUGACUGAGACUGCAGGGGGAGCUGAACACAAACCUCCUGAGACAUGA